UGCCAGCAGCCGCGGUAAUACAGAGGGUGCAAACGUUGCUCGGAAUUACUGGGCGUAAAGCGCGCGUAGGCGGACGGGUAAGUCAGAUGUGAAAGCCCUGAGCUCAACUUAGGAACUGCAUUUGAAACUACCUGUCUCGAGUGAUGGAGAGGGAAGCGGAAUUCCUGGUGUAGAGGUGAAAUUCGUAGAUAUCAGGAGGAACACCGGUGGCGAAGGCGGCUUCCUGGACAUUUACUGACGCUGAGGCGCGAAAGCGUGGGGAGCAAACAGGAUUAGAUA
rnacentral:rRNA from 1 species